UACGGGGGGAGCAAGCGUUGUUCGGAUUUACUGGGCGUAAAGGGCGCGUAGGCGGUCAGCACAAGUCAGUUGUGAAAUCUCCGGGCUUAACUCGGAAAGGUCAACUGAUACUGUGCGACUAGAGUGCAGAAGGGGCAACUGGAAUUCUCGGUGUAGCGGUGAAAUGCGUAGAUAUCGGGAGGAACACCUGUGGCGAAAGCGGCGCACUGGACCACAUCUGACGCUGAGGCGCGAAAGCUAGGGGAGCAAACAGG
rnacentral:rRNA from 1 species